rnacentral:lncRNA from 1 species
CUUGAUGGGGGUGUUAGUUCCCCAUCUUUUAUCUAUUUUUUUGGUACAAUUGUCGCCCAGAUGAGUAGAGUUCUGUGCUAGAGAGUGCACUAAAAUGUAGUAAACCAUGUAUUGGUUAUAAAUUUUUUGGUGGAAACAUUUAACUGAAUUGGUUUUUAAGUGUCAAAUGCACCAGUGGUUACCUAUUAAGAAGUGUUUAAUGCAUUAGAACUGGAUAAUAUAAUAGUAAUCGAUACAUAGGUCAGAUAAGAAAUAGUAAUGAUCAAAUUCGAGGAAUAAGAAUAGUAAUAAUAUUUGUAGAAGAGAGUUGAUAUGCUAAACAUAUUUUGUUUAUUAUGAGAAUUUGUAUGUGUCUCAUUGAUGAUCUACAUGGAUUAUGGUAAGCAGGUUAGUUUCAUUGGGGUUACGAUUAUAGUCUAGAUGUAAAAAACCAUGAUAGGUGUCUGAAC